UAGUUGCAAGGUAUAGACCCGAAACCCGGUGAUCUAGCCAUGGGCAGGUUGAAGGUUGGGUAACACUAACUGGAGGACCGAACCGACUAAUGUUGAAAAAUUAGCGGAUGACUUGUGGCUGGGGGUGAAAGGCCAAUCAAACCGGGAGAUAGCUGGUUCUCCCCGAAAGCUAUUUAGGUAGCGCCUCGUGAACUCAUCUUCGGGGGUAGAGCACUGUUUCGGCUAGGGGGCCAUCCCGGCUUACCAAACCGAUGCAAACUCCGAAUACCGAAGAAUGUUAUCACGGGAGACACACGGCGGGUGCUAACGUCCGUCGUGAAGAGGGAAACAACCCAGACCGCCAGCUAAGGUCCCAAAGUCAUGGUUAAGUGGGAAACGAUGUGGGAAGGCAUAGACAGCCAGGAUGUUGGCUUAGAAGCAGCCAUCAUUUAAAGAAAGCGUAAUAGCUCACUGGUCGAGUCGGCCUGCGCGGAAGAUGUAACGGGGCUAAACCAUGCACCGAAGCUGCGGCAGCGACGCUUAGGCGUUGUUGGGUAGGGGAGCGUUCUGUAAGCCGUUGAAGGUGGCCUGUGAGGGUUGCUGGAGGUAUCAGAAGUGCGAAUGCUGACAUAAGUAACGAUAAAGCGGGUGAAAAGCCCGCUCGCCGGAAGACCAAGGGUUCCUGUCCAACGUUAAUCGGGGCAGGGUGAGUCGACCCCUAAGGCGAGGCUGAAAAGCGUAGUCGAUGGGAAACAGGUUAAUAUUCCUGUACUUGGUGUUACUGCGAAGGGGGGACGGAGAAGGCUAGGCUGGCCGGGCGACGGUUGUCCCGGUUUAAGCGUGUAGGGGGUGUGACCUGGUAAAUCCGGUUGCAUAUUAACCCUGAGGCGUGAUGACGAUGCACUACGGUGCAGAAGUAGUUGAUGCCCUGCUUCCAGGAAAAUCCUCUAAGCUCCAGGUAACAUUAAAUCGUACCCCAAACCGACACAGGUGGUCAGGUAGAGAAUACCAAGGCGCUUGAGAGAACUCGGGUGAAGGAACUAGGCAAAAUGGUGCCGUAACUUCGGGAGAAGGCACGCUGGCAUGUAGGUGAAGUCCCU
rnacentral:rRNA from 1 species